rnacentral:rRNA from 1 species
CCUACGGGGGGCUGCAGCGAGGGAUUUUCGGCAAUGGGCGCAAGCCUGACCGAGCAACGCCGCGUGCGGGACGACGCCCCUCGGGGUGUAAACCGCUUUUGCCGGGGGCGAGGAUGACGGUACCCGGCGAAUCAGCCUCGGCUAACUACGUGCCAGCAGCCGCGGUAAGACGUAGGAGGCGAGCGUUGUCCGGAUUUACUGGGCGUAAAGCGCGCGCGGGCGGCCCCGCAGGUCGGCAGUGAAAGCCCCCGGCUCAACCGGGCGGAGGCGGCCGA